GCCAGUGUGGUGUAGUGGUUUGAGUGUUGGUCUAUGACUCUAGGGACCAGAGUUCAAUUCCCUGCUUGGUG